AAUAUCGAACAAAGUAUAGAUUUAAUACGAUAAAACUUUCAAUCGGAAAAUUUACAAUUCCCUUUUACCGCGUGUACACUUAUAAUCAAUUCCCUUUCUACCAAUCUCGUUUCAAGACACACCCAACAAGUGUAACGACCAGUCACUCUACUAAUAAAGUACAAACGUUUAUCCAGAAAAUGAGAAUAAAAAAAAGAUAUAUAACAAAUUAAUAAUAAGUUAUAACAAAAUUCUUUUUUACCAUGAAUUUCAUACAUCAUAUGUUAAUUAAUUAAACAUUUAUGCCGAUGAAUUGAAUCAGAUUCAAUUCUUCUCAAUUUCUAAUGUUCGAUAUUCAAUUCAGACAUGUAAUUUAAUUUCAAUAAUUUUUUGCUAAUAAAAUUCUACAGCUGAAUUUAAAAAUUUUGUAAAGCAAAACGCAAAAAAUUUUUAAUUUUACAAUAAAGAAUUAAAUCUAGGUACAGAAAUAUAUCGACGUAAGGUAUAAUAUUUUUUUAAAUAUAUCAAGGAUAAUCGAAUGAAAAGAAACGGACGUGGAUCGCUUAAAAGGAAAGAAACGGUUUUGCUCCGUGGCAACGACGUAACUUAACCAUUAAUGGAAUUUCUGAACCGGACCCAAAACGGAAGUGCGUUCCUCGACCAAGCGCAUCGCGGCACGUGCAGCGCACCGAUGCAAUGCAUCAAUUGCAUAACCUUUUCGAAUAACUCGUAACCGAGUCACCGCGUGGUGGAAUAUCAAUUAACAGACAGGGAUCGGCGAGAAGAAAACGCGUCCAACCACGACUUGUGGUUUCUGAUCACGCGAUCCUUGGCUUGUAGCCAGAUUAUACCCUGAGUUACGUGUGUUCCUUACUUUUAAUAAUCGAGAAAGAAAUUUACUAUACGUGCCACAUACGAGUUCAAAAUUACAUUGAAGUUGCAUUAUCAUAACGUGCGAUUAUAUCGAAGUUUUAUAUUUUAGUUUUAACUGUGUUUUUUUUUCCAAUGAAUUUAUUUAUAGCGAAUGUAGAAUUUUAGGUUAGGAGAAUUCAAAGAGAAUAAUCUUAAGCGAAAUUAAUAAUGGACUGAUAAAGUUGUCGAUAAUGAUUGUAAUUAUAAUAUGUAUCGAAGUUCGAUAGAAAUUACAGUGUUUUAAACUGACACGAAUGUAGAAUUUUAGGUUAGGAGAAGUUGAAUCGAUAGAUUAAUCAAGCGAAACUAAUAGAUUGAUAAAAUCGAUGAUAAUCGUAUCGAAGUUCGAUAGAAAUUUUAAUUAUACAGUUUUAGGUUCGAUACGUAUAAUGGAUAUAGAAUUUUAGGUUAGAAGAACUUGAAAUAAUAGAUUAAUCGAGUGAAACUAAUAGAUUGAUCAUCGAUAAUUUCCAUUUUAAUCCAAGUAGCGUAAUAAGAGUGCAAUAAUAAAAAUUGGGUCAAGAGAAAUCUGAAGAAAAGAACGAUGAAAUAGAAAUCUUUUUCUUGAAUUCGACUUAUGUUUAAUAUCGAAUAAGUGAAAAAAAGAUUAAGUCUUAAUGAAUAAAAAUAUGAGAUAUCCUCACGAAGAUGUUCUACUAGGAAAAAUAAACACGAUAUCCGGAAAAUGUUAUGAACUGAAUAUUGACCGAGUGAAAGCAAGUGAAAACCAGCAUCACGGUUUUCUGAUCACGUAUAUCGGUGGAGAGGCCUCGAUUGGAUGGAUGGUGAGGACAGUCAGGGAAAAAGCAAUUAAUCUUACCGGAGAGAGGCGCGUAGACCGGAUAUGGGGCGACGUAAUCCGGUACCUCGUCCUCGUAGAUUGGCUGAUGAUAGUAGCAACUAUUGUUCGUCGACCUGGCUGGUCCACAAUACAACUCUUCCACGAAAGCAGGUGCGUCGUAGCCAGGCUCUCUCACCGACGGCGUAUACCUGCAAUCAGAGUGAUAUAUACGUUCGUCUAAUUAUCCAGCGAAUAACGAUGCUACGUAUUUUGAUGAAAAAAAAUGAUCGAAUAAAAAAUCGUUAAAGAUACAAGAGCAAAAAAAUUAAGAAAUACACAAGAAAAGAUUAUUACAAAUUCAUCGCUGGAAACUCUCUCGACUUAAGCAGACACUUUUGAGGUUAUGUUUCGAGCGUACAAGUUAUUCCAUCUCUCCAUGAAAAAGUCAACGAUUCGUUUUCAUUGCUCGUUAAAAAUUCUACGGAUCACGAACAAAUCGUUAAAUCGAGAAAGUGGGAUUAGACAACACAUUGGAUAUAGCAAUUGGAAUAAUUUCAAAAAUACGAAACGUUUUGUACGAACGCUCGUGUAUCUCGUUAUUACACGAGAUUAUAUAUUUACCGAGCAGUUGAGCCUUAAACCAACAUCAUGAUAAUAUUAGAAAUGUCCAUUUAAAGGCGAGUCACAGUAACCGUUUCCAGUAGCAAUCUUCGUUCCAACGACCAGAAAAACUUUUUUUUUUCCACUAAAUUAGCCGGCGACUCGAAACGAGUCGAGGGCCUUUCACCGGCUCUGAUCCAAAUGAUCGAUUUAAACGGCGUUACAGGGUUCAAUGCACCACGUUGGAUCGCUGAUGCAUGCCCAUUACGAUUAAAGGAAGUGUCUCUUUCCGGCAAUUAAAUUGCCUCGUAAUUGUGUCUCGUGCUGUCUCCAACCUCUGGUUGUGCAAUUUUUUUUUUCUCUUUUUCUUUUAUUCCCUCCAUACACGUCUUUUCUUCUUAUUUCUCUUCGAAAAAGGCAAGUAAUUCGACUUCAUAGAAAUUUUAGUGAAUGGUAGUUGACGCAAGUAAUCGUUCACGGAAAUUUUAACAAGAUUUCUUUCAAGAUCUCUUUAUACGGUUACCGUUCUCGCAAUACACUUGUAAUACUAAAUAUUACUUAGAUACCUAAUACGGAUUUGAUUUUCCUAUAUCGGGAUAAUAAAAUAAAUUUUCUUUUCUUCUCUUGCGUUUCGAUCUCUGCAAAAUUAUAUAUUAAAUAAUAAAUGAUAUCUAUAUUGUUCAAUGAAACGUUAAAUUGCUAAUAUUUAUCUUUCGAUUUUUAUCUUUAAUAGAUUUAAAAACCCGAGAAAAUUUCGCAAUCAUUUUCAAUUCAGGUUAUCAUAUUUUUUUUUACAUACAUACGCGAAUAAAUAUGAUAUAUCGGAUUUGAAUCGGCAUAUACUUAGAAGACAGUAAUAGUAGAAAAAUUAUGAAUCAUGAUUUGAUAACAGAUCGUAUCGUACGUUUUUUAUUUCAUGUUUUUUUAUUUUAUCUCUCUGUUAUUAAUAAUAUCCCCCUUAAAAUAUUAUUUAUUUCCACGUCAGUGUUUUACAAAAUUGUUAUUUCGAAAAUCGCGUUUCCUUGAUGCGUCGAGCGAAGAACUUCUCUCGAUCUCAAUUGCCAACACAACCAGAAAACUGGCCAAGAAUCCCAUUAGAGCCAUUCUCCAAGUGGUUGUGAAAAUGACCACUCACCAAUAUUCGGAGUGAGCACGUGCGUCUUGGGACAGCCGAUAAGCCGAUCGCCGAUGAUGCCGAGGAGGAACCUGUUGCGCCACGCCGGCCACGCUGUGUCGACGAAGAUACGCAUAAUUCUCGAGAUCCCACGGAUCCACGUAGUGCCUGCUCGUGCUUGCCGAGCUGCAACCGUCCCCGGAGCUACCGAUAGAAAUGGAAUGCUGGGAACCGACCGAGUCCCAGUAUAUCGACGAUUCGGUUGGCAUUUUCAUUUCUUCGCCCCUCUCUUCGUCGUGAAAUAAAAUUUUCUUCCCUAA